rnacentral:rRNA from 1 species
GCUAGCCCUAANCCUAAAUAGCCAAACAACGACGCUACUCGCCAGAGUACUACUAGCAAUAGCUUAAAACUCAAAGGACUUGGCGGUGCUUUACAUCCCUCUAGAGGAGCCUGUUCUGUAAUCGAUAAACCCCGAUAAACCUCACCAACUCUUGCUAAUACAGCCUAUAUACCGCCAUCUUCAGCAAACCCUAAAAAGGAAACAAAGUAAGCAAAAACAUAAAACAUAAAAACGUUAGGUCAAGGUGUAGCCUAUGAGUUGGAAAGAAAUGGGCUACAUUUUCUAGCAUAGAACAUUAACGAAAAUUUUCGUGAAACCGAAAAUAGAAGGAGGAUUUAGUGUAANUUAAGAAUAGAGAGCUUAAUNNAAUCAGGCCAUAAGCAC